GAUGAACGCUGGCGGCGUGCCUAAUACAUGCAAGUCGAGCGAACGGACGAGGAGCUUGCUUCUCUGACGUUAGCGGCGGACGGGUGAGUAACACGUGGAUAACCUACCUAUAAGACUGGGAUAACUUCGGGAAACCGGAGCUAAUACCGGAUAAUAUAUUGAACCGCAUGGUUCAAUAGUGAAAGACGGUCUUGCUGUCACUUAUAGAUGGAUCCGCGCUGCAUUAGCUAGUUGGUAAGGUAACGGCUUACCAAGGCAACGAUGCGUAGCCGACCUGAGAGGGUGAUCGGCCACACUGGAACUGAGACACGGUCCAGACUCCUACGGGAGGCAGCAGUAGGGAAUCUUCCGCAAUGGGCGAAAGCCUGACGGAGCAACGCCGCGUGAGUGAUGAAGGUCUUCGGAUCGUAAAACUCUGUUAUUAGGGAAGAACAUAUGUGUAAGUAACUAUGCACAUCUUGACGGUACCUAAUCAGAAAGCCACGGCUAACUACGUG
rnacentral:rRNA from 1 species